rnacentral:lncRNA from 1 species
AAGAGAGCACUACCUCAGGGAACCAUGGUUGGGCUCUGAAUGAAUUGGGAGGGUUCUUCCAGAAUCUUCCCUGGGGCUAGAAGGAGGCAGGGAGAGUGGAACACUGAAGAUUUCCCCCAUGGAAAUGAAACAAUUCAAUCAGAUAUUCCUCUACUUGAAUCACUUUUAUUCGGGGCAUCAGGUCUUCAUUUAAUCUUCACAAGACCCUCAGAGGUAAUUAGCUGGUGGAACCUGGUGGCACAUGCCUGUUAUCCCAGCACUUUGAAAGGCCAAGGUGGGAGGAUCACUUGAAGCCAGGAGUUCAAGACCAGACUGGGCAACAUAGCAAGACCCCAUCUCUAAAAGCAAAUAACAGUAAGAACAAAAAAGGUAAUUUGUCCUUUGUUUAGAAGAUAUGGAUUGCAAAUUUUUUUUCCAGCUUUCUGUUUGUUUUUGACAUUGUUUAUGGUGUCUCUUCCCAUGCAUAAACUUCAAUUUUUAUACAUUUAUCAUUUUUUCUCUUUUUACAGUGUCUGGGUCUUAUGGCAUACCUAGAGAUGCUUUUC